rfam:Kockovaella imperatae strain NRRL Y-17943 BD324scaffold_7, whole genome shotgun sequence.
GGACAUAUCGUAUAAUGGUUAGUACAUGAGAUUCUGAUUUUAAUCAAUUCUCGAAACCCAGGUUCGAUCCCUGGUAUGUCCU